AAUGUGAAGAGAGAGUGAAAGCUUCCAGUUCUGCGCGAGUGGGCUUCUUACUGAUACCAAAGACACCAAUCUUAUCUUCUACAUUACACUCGUGACUCGUCAGUUAAGAGAAUCCGGCCAAUUUCCUUCCGAACAAACGCUGCCACCGUCGGAUUGUCCGAUAGUUCCGGGGACCUUCUCGUAGUCCCUUGCGCAGUGGCGCACUGCUCAGUUCCGCCGGAGGGGAAUGGUGAAAUUUGACGGCCAAAGAGUGGGCCAGACGGUCAUGAGCCUUGGCGCGAACGGUGUUGGCCAAGUUUUGGUCGCCGUGGCGGCGGCUUUUCUCGUCCGUCAUUUGUCUGGACCUGAACCAGCUCUUCCAUCGGAAUACGACGUCGAGCUGGAGGACGGGGAGAAGGAAGAUGGAGACAUUGAAGUCGGUGAAGAAGCUCCAGUCUCCGGGAAAGUCACGCCGGUGACAAUCCGCUGGUGCAAUAUCUCGUGCUUUCUCUCUGAUAAAUCAUCCAAAUCAGUGAGAUGGCUGCUUAAGAAUGUAAGCGGAGAAGCGAAACCAGGAAGAUUAUUGGCAAUAAUGGGACCGUCGGGUUCAGGAAAAACAACGUUGCUCAAUAUUUUGGCGGGUCAGCUAGCGGCUUCACCGCGGUUACAUCUCUCAGGCCUCAUAGAUUUCAAUGGAAAGACUGAUUCAAAUAAGAGGGCUUACAGGUUGGCAUAUGUGAGACAGGAGGACCUCUUUUUCUCACAGCUAACUGUGCGAGAGACACUGAAGCUUGCUGCUGAACUUCAGCUUACUGAGAUAUCUUCCGUAGAAGAGAGAGAAGAAUAUGUUAACAAUCUGCUCUUGAAACUAGGUUUGGUAAACUGUGCCGAAUCAUGUGUUGGUGAUGCAAGAGUUCGUGGGAUCAGUGGGGGUGAAAAAAAACGUCUGUCCCUUGCAUGUGAGCUGAUUGCUAGCCCCUCUGUUAUAUUUGCUGAUGAACCAACAACAGGACUUGAUGCAUUCCAGGCAGAAAAAGUAGUGGAGACACUUAAACAACUUGCGAAGGAUGGGCACACUGUAAUCUGCUCCAUACAUCAACCAAGAGGUUCUGUGUAUAGCAAAUUUGAUGAUAUCGUAUUAUUGACAGAGGGUGCUCUUGUCUAUGUUGGUCCUGCUCACGAGGAACCUUUGGAAUACUUCUCUAAAUUUGGGUAUAAUUGCCCGGAUCAUGUGAAUCCUGCUGAGUUUCUGGCCGAUCUUAUAUCAAUUGACUAUAGUUCUGCAGACAGUGUGUACUCCUCUCAGAAGAGGAUCUACGGUCUUGUUGAGUCAUUCUCUCGAUACUCUUCAACAAUUUUGUAUGCAAUCCCAAUUGAGAAAAGGCAGGUCUUGGCUGGUAAGGAAUCCAGGAAAAGUAAGCUUUUGAAGAAAGGAGGUUGGUGGAGGCAAUUCUGCUUGCUCCUCAAGCGCGCAUGGAUGCAGGCUUCUCGGGAUGGACCAACAAAUAAGGUUCGAGCACGAAUGUCCAUUGCAUCAGCCAUCAUAUUUGGUUCAGUCUUUUGGAGAAUGGGAAGAUCUCAGACAUCAAUCCAGGAUAGGAUGGGUUUGCUUCAGGUUGCAGCAAUCAACACUGCAAUGGCUGCUCUCACCAAGACUGUGGGUGUUUUUCCGAAGGAACGUGCAAUUGUUGACAGGGAGCGUGCAAAGGGAUCUUAUACGUUAGGCCCAUAUCUACUUUCUAAAUUGUUGGCCGAAAUUCCAAUUGGAGCUGCUUUUCCACUGAUAUUUGGCGCUAUCUUGUACCCCAUGGCUCGUCUUCACCCAACCGUAUCAAGAUUUGGGAAGUUCUGCAGUAUUGUCACGGUUGAAUCUUUUGCUGCAUCUGCUAUGGGGCUCACUGUAGGGGCUAUGGUUCCUAGCACAGAAGCAGCAAUGGCAGUGGGGCCCUCACUCAUGACAGUUUUUAUUGUUUUUGGUGGCUAUUAUGUAAAUGCAGACAACACGCCGAUCAUCUUUCGUUGGAUUCCUAGCGUUUCUCUUAUAAGAUGGGCCUUUCAAGGGCUUUGCGUCAAUGAGUUUAAAGGUCUUCAAUUUGAUUGUCAGCAUUCAUUUGAUAUUCAAACUGGAGAACAGGCACUCGAACGACUUUCAUUUGGUCAAAGCCGUAUCAGGGGUACACUGAUAGCUCAAAGUAGGAUACUUUUGUUCUGGUAUUAUACCGCUUACCUUCUCCUAGAAAAAAAUAAGCCCAAAUACCAGCAGCUUGAGCCACCACCUCUCGACGAAACACAGCCAGAUGAUCUACAAAUCGAAACCUUUGACAAUGACAACUUGCACAAAACUGAACGCGAAGGAGAUCUACAAAUCGAAACCUUUGACAAUGACAACUUGCACAAAACUGAACGCGAAGGAGAUCUACAAAUCGAAACCUUUGACAAUGACAACUUGCACAAAACUGAACGCGAAGGAGAUCUACAAAUCGAAACCUUUGACAAUGACAACUUGCACAAAACUGAACGCGAAGGAGAUCUACAAAUCGAAACCUUUGACAAUGACAACUUGCACAAAACUGAACGCGAAGGAGAUCUACAAAUCGAAACCUUUGACAAUGACAACUUGCACAAAACCGAACGCGAAGGAGAUCUACAAAUCGAAACCUUUGACCAUGACAACUUGCACAAAACCGAACGUGAAGGAGAUCUACAAAUUGGAACCUUUGAUAAUGACAACUUGGACAAAAGCCAACCUGAGGGAGAACUACAAAUGAAAACCUUUGAUAAUGACAACUUGGACAAAAGCCAACCUGAAGGAGAUCUACAAAUGAAAACCUUUGAUAAUGACAACUUGGACAAAAGCCAACCUGAAGGAGAUCUACAAAUGAAAACCUUUGAUAAUGACAACUUGGACAAAAGCCAACCUGAAGGAGAUCUACAAAUGAAAACCUUUGAUAAUGACAACUUGGACAAAAGCCAACCUGAAGGAGAUCUACAAAUGAAAACCUUUGAUAAUGACAACUUGGACAAAAGCCAACCUGAGGGAGAUCUACAAAUGAAAACCUUUGAUAAUGAGAACUUGGACAAAACCCAACUUGAGGGAGAUCUACAAACGAAAACCUUUGAUAAUGAGAACUUGGACAAAACCCAACUUGAGGGAGAUUUACAAAUUGAAUCCUUUGACAAUGACGACAUGGAGAAACCCCCAUCUCUCGAACAAGUUGAAUCGAAGGAUGCCGAUAUUGAAACACCCGAAAUCGAUCAAAUCCGACCAUUUAUUCUAGAAGGUGCUAAGUAAGGAGAUGUGAUGGCAAAUAAAGGAGGCUGUUGCCUUACUUAAGCUAAUAAGCUGUUGUAGUUGUAGAAUGUGAAACAUUGCAGUUACUUUGGCACUCAAUACAUAAUUGAGUUAUGAAUUUAAUGUGUAAUAAUAAUUUUGAUGAGGUUUCCAUUUUGGAGAGGAUGAAGGAUGAUGGUUGGACAGCAUGGAUGAAGUUGUGCAUCACAUCAUGGCAUCUUGACUCCAAAGUGUAAACUAACACUUAACCCAAUUAGCAGGAGACAAUUUGACUGUUGAUUGAAAAUUUACAAAAGGAAUCUUCCCCAUUUGCAAUGAGGGAGGUAUAAUAUUAGACAGUUUAUACCAAGAUAUAGCUUCGUAACUAAUAUUGUCGAAAAGUCUUGUGUAGGUGUGUGUCUUUACUGCUUGAGCUUUGUGGUUAAAUGUGAUUGCCAAUGACAUAGUAGAUGAUAGCAUAAGUUCAUUAAUUAUAGUGUAUCUAUUUUGUCUCGAAUACAUGAAAAAAGGAUAUAAAAUCCUAUUCACUCAACCUGUGAGUGAGUCGACUGAAAAGGUUGGAGAUUCAAA